GACAGAGGGUGCAAGCGUUGUUCGGAAUUACUGGGCGUAAAGCGUGUGUAGGCGGUCUCAUAAGUCGGGUGUGAAAGCCCAGGGCUCAACCCUGGAAGUGCACUCGAAACUGCGAGGCUUGAGUACCGGAGAGGUUGGUGGAAUUCUCGGUGUAGAGGUGAAAUUCGUAGAUAUCGAGAGGAACACCGGUGGCGAAGGCGGCCAACUGGACGAGUACUGACGCUGAGACACGAAAGCGUGGGGAGCAAACAGG
rnacentral:rRNA from 1 species